rnacentral:rRNA from 1 species
CCGGGGGGCCGCAGAGAGAUGGCCCAGGCGACUGUUUAACAAAAACACAGCACUAUGCAAACCUCUAAGGGGAAGUAUAUGGUGUGACGCCUGCCCAAUGCCAAAAGGUUAAAGGGAUAUGUCAGCCGCAAGGCAAAGCAUUGAACCCAAGCCCUGGUGAAUGGCCGCCGUAACUAUAACGGUGCUAAGGUAGCGAAAUUCCUUGUCGGGUAAGUUCCGACCUGCACGAAUGGUGUAACGAUCUGGGCACUGUCUCAACGAAAGACUCGGUGAAAUUGUAGUAGCAGUGAAGAUGCUGUUUACCCGCAAAAGGACGAAAAGACCCCGUGAACCUUUACUGUACUUUGGUAUUGAUUCUUGAUUUGUUAUGUGUAGCAUAGCCAGGAGACUGAGAACACUCUUCGUCAGGAGAGUGGGAGUCAUCGUUGAAAUACUGGUCUUAACAAGUUGGGAAUCUAACAUAAUUCCAUGAAUCUGGAAUAUGGACAUUGCCAGACGGGCAGUUUUACUGGGGCGGUAUCCUCCUAAAAAGUAACGGAGGAGCCCAAAGCUUAUUUCAUCGUGGUUGGCAAUCACGAGUAGAGCGUAAAGGUAUAAAAUAGGUUGACUGCAAGACCUACAAGUCAAGCAGAGACGAAAGUCGGGCUUAGUGAUCCGGCGGUGGAAAGUGGAAUCGCCGUCGCUUAACGGAUAAAAGGUACUCCGGGGAUAACAGGCUGAUCGCCACCAAGAGUUCAUAUCGACGUGGCGGUUUGGCACCUCGAUGUCGGCUCAUCGCAUCCUGGGGCUGGAGAAGGUCCCAAGGGUUUGGCUGUUCGCCAAUUAAAGCGGUACGCGAGCUGGGUUCAAAACGUCGUGAGACAGUUUGGUCUCUAUCCUUUGUGGGCGCAGGAUACUUGAAAGGAGCUGUUCCUAGUACGAGAGGACCGGAAUGGACGAACCAAUGGUGUGUCGGUUGUUUUGCCAAAAGCAUAGCCGAGUAGCUACGUUCGGAAAGGAUAAGCAUUGAAAGCAUCUAAAUGCCAAGCCUCCCUUAAGAUAAGGUAUCCCUAUGAGACUCCAUAUAGACUAUGUGGUUGAUAGGUUGGGUGUGUACGCACAGUAAUGUGUUUAGCUAACCAAUACUAAUAAGUCCAUUGACUUGGUUU